UACGGAGGAUCCAAGCGUUAUCCGGAUUUAUUGGGUUUAAAGGGUGCGUAGGCGGCCUAUUAAGUUAGGGGUGAAAGACGGUAGCUUAACUAUCGCAGUGCCUUUGAUACUGAUGGGCUUGAAUGGACUAGAGGUAGGCGGAAUGUGACAAGUAGCGGUGAAAUGCAUAGAUAUGUCAUAGAACACCUAUUGCGAAGGCAGCAAACUACGCAUAUAUUGACGCUGAGGCACGAAAGCGUGGGGAUCAAACAGG
rnacentral:rRNA from 1 species